AGCUCCAAUAGCGUAUAUUAAUGUUGUUGCAGUUAAAAAGCUCGUAGUUGGAUUUCUGAUCGGUUCGUCUAUCCAGGUCCGCAAGGAUUUGUGUGUGACGCAACCUGUCAUCCUCAGGGGGACUGUUCACUGGCAUUCAGUUGUCGGUGUCGGGACGCCUGUCGUUUACUGUGAACAAAUUAGAGUGUUCAAAGCAAGGUGUUCUUGAAUACAUUAGCAUGGAAUAAUAAGAUAGGACUCUGACGGUUCUUUUUGAUAUUUUGUUGGUUUGCACGCCAGAGUAAUGAUUAAUAGGAGCAGUUGGGGGUAUUCGUAUUCAAUUGUCAGAGGUGAAAUUCUUGGAUUUAUAGAAGACGAACUACUGCGAAAGCAUUUACCAAGGAUGUUUUCA
rnacentral:rRNA from 1 species